GAAACAGGGCCCAGGUUUGGAGUGGAGCUUGUUGUUGGUGUGUGAAGAAACUACUGACUGAAGAUGAUGAUGGAGGAAGAGGAGGACAGAGCAGAGUCUGCAGGGUCCAGCUGUCCGUCUGUGAGGAGUGACCGGUCCA